AUGAUCUCCCGGACGAGCAUUAUGCUUAUCGCGCGCGCGAGCGCCUCCGUAGGACGGUGCUCGUGCCGCUCCGCCGCGCGCUACAGCUCCCCGAGGUCUUCAUGUCGGCGCGCCUGGGAGUCCGUUGUGUACACGCGCGUGGCCUCCGUCGCCAUGAAGAACUACCAGGCCGUCUUCCUCAAGCACGACGCCGAGCGCUUCAACUCUUACCUUGCCGACGUCAAGUCGGGCAAGAAGCGGAUCGCUGCGGGCGCGCUGCUCCCUCACCAGAUCAUCGAGUCCCUCGGCGAGGACGGCGACGGUGCCGGCACCGGCGUGGCCGACAUGCAGUGGCGGCGCAUGGUCGACGAUAUGCGCGCCCUCGGCAAGCUCACCAACUGCAUGGCCGUGUGCGACGUGUCCGGCAGCAUGUCCGGCCUGCCCAUGGACGUCUGCGUGGCGCUCGGCCUCCUCGUGUCCGAGCUCACGGGUACCCCGUGGCGCGGCCGCGUGAUCACCUUCAGCGAGCGCCCGGAGAUCCACUUGAUCACCGGCGACACCCUCUCGGAGAAGGUGGACUUCAUGCGCGCCAUGGAGUGGGGCAUGAACACAAACUUCCAGGCGGUGUUCGACAAGAUCCUCGAGGUGGCCGUGGGCGGCGGCCUGCCGCCGGAGAAGAUGGUGCGGCGGGUGUUCGUGUUCAGCGACAUGGAGUUCGACCAGGCGUCGGCUCAUCCGUGGGAGACAGACUACGAUGGUGAGGAAGUUCUCGGAAGCCGGCUACGGGUCGGCCGUGCCAGAGAUAGUGUUCUGGAACCUGGCGUACUCCAAGGCCGUGCCGGUGAUGUCCGGCCAGAAAGGGGUGGCGCUGGUCAGCGGCUUCUCCAAGAACUUGCUCAAGCUGUUCCUCGACGGCGGCGGCAUCGUCACCCCGAGGACCAUCAUGGAGAAGGUCAUCGUCGGCCCGGAGUACGACAAGCUCACCGUGUUCGACUGAAGAAGACAGCGGCAAAACAAAAACUUCCAUAUGUAUGA
rnacentral:rRNA from 1 species